CGGUCCAGCGCAAUGAGAGCUGCACCAACUAGCAAUCGAGCCCGCCCAUGAUAAUCCUAGCCCGUCCGGCGGGCGCGCGAGAUUAUGGAUGACGGCGCCGUAGCCUUCCGAGUACUAAACCACGGAUUAAACCGAGCGCCGAGGGUUAAGUUUGAUACCGCAAUAACAGGGUACCAUGCAACCACAUUGUUUGACGACACCGCGGCGACGGCCUACGGUAGACCACGCGACACGUCGAGACUAGCGAGUCGCCGCGCAACCACGCUCUCUCGCGUUUCGUGCUCUCGUUAUCAUUUUCCGUUGUCGUCCGUCGCACGUUGCUAAUGUUGCUAUUGUGUGAUUUGUACUAUUUGCAGUUGUUGUAUGGUCGGUGGACGGACGUUUGGAGUUCGGGCCAAAGACGUCGACGGCGAAUUACCGAGUGGUACACUCUUGAACAGUUUUACUAUAAUAUUGUAGCUGGUGACUAUUAUAGUAAAUACUUCUAAGUACGUAAUUUGUACACGCUCGUGUGUUUCGUCGCGAGGGUUUUUAUUUUUUAUUAACCGUUACGAUUGAUAACGACAACAGGUGGUGCGCUCUGUCAGUGGUCUGUCUGGUCUCAUCAAAUUAUGUUUCGAGCACUUUGCCAGUCUGUUUUUUCCCGCUUUACCGGCUACCUGGUUGUACGCGUGCUUGCUACGUUAUCAACUCAUACUAAAUCGCUGUUUAUCAUUCACGUAUAAAUGUUUAAUAAUAAUAAUAAUAUAUAUUUAUACACAGUAGUACUGUACAGAAUUCUCAAUCUACCGUCUACAGCGCUCUAAAUAUUAUUUUGGCACGCGCGACGACCAUGCAGCAGCUACCUACGAAUAUUUUUGCAAAUCCUAUUUCACGGUACAUGUUGAUGAGACUUGUGGCUCCUGCUGACUAGGUUACAGCCAACCGGCGUCGAUUGCUGUUUUAAUUCUUCAAACUGAAUGUGAUUCAGUUAAAAGUUAUAUAAUAUAAUCAAGAUUAAAC